CCGAGCCCACCGCACCACCAACUCUUCCUCCUCCUGCGCGGCUGCAGCUGCCGGCCAUGUCGGUGGAGACGGAGCGGAGCUCCACGGAGUCCUCCGCCGCCUCGGGCCUCGACUUCGAGGACACCGCCCUCACCCUUCGCCUCCCCGGCUCCGACCCCGACCGCAAGCGCGCCUCCACCUCCGACCCCGACUGCCCCUCCCCGACCGCCGCCGCCUCCGACUCUCCCCCUUCCCCC
rnacentral:lncRNA from 1 species